UACAGAGGUGGCGAGCGUUAUUCGGAAUUAUUGGGCGUAAAGAGCUCGUAGGCGGCCUGUCGCGUCUGCUGUGAAAUCCCGGGGCUUAACCCCGGGCGUGCAGUGGAUACGGGCUGGCUGGAGGCAGGCAGGGGAGAACGGAAUUCCCGGUGUAGCGGUGAAAUGCGCAGAUAUCGGGAGGAACACCGGUGGCGAAGGCGGUUCUCUGGGCCUGUUCUGACGCUGAGGAGCGAAAGCGUGGGGAGCGAACAGG
rnacentral:rRNA from 1 species